GCGCUCACUUCAGCAGCACAUAUACUAAAUACAGAUAUGAUACAAAGAAGAUUGGCGUGGCCCCUGUGCAAGGAUUACAUGCAAAUUUGUGAAGCUUUCCAUAUUUUU
ensembl:snRNA U6 U6 spliceosomal RNA